rnacentral:rRNA from 1 species
AGCUCCAAUAGCGUAUACUAAAGUUGUUGCAGUUAAAAAGCUCGUAGUUGGAUUUCUGGUUGCGAAUAUCGGUCCGCUCCUCACGGAGUGUGCACCAGAUAUUUGCGUCCAUCCUCGGGGAGAGCGCCCUUGGCAUUAAGUUGUUGAGUGUGGGAUCCCCGUCAUUUACUGUGAGCAAAAUAGAGUGUUCAAAGCAGGCUUAGGCCGUUGAAUACAUUAGCAUGGAAUAAUAAGAUAGGACCUUGGUCUAUUUUGUUGGUUUGCACUCCAAGGUAAUGAUUAAUAGGGAUAGUUGGGGAUAUUCGUAUUCAAUUGUCAGAGGUGAAAUUCUUGGAUUUAUGGAAGACGAACUACUGCGAAAGCAUUUAUCAAGGAUGUUUUCA